rnacentral:rRNA from 1 species
UACGUAGGGUGCAAGCGUUGUCCGGAGUUAUUGGGCGUAAAGAGCUCGUAGGCGGUCUGUCGCGUCGGCUGUGAAAACUCGGGGCUCAACUCCGAGCUUGCAGUCGAUACGGGCAGGCUAGAGUUCGGCAUGGGAGACUGGAAUUCCUGGUGUAGCGGUGAAAUGCGCAGAUAUCAGGAGGAACACCGGUGGCGAAGGCGGGUCUCUGGACCAUAACUGACGCUGAUGCACGAAAGCUAGGGGAGCAAACAGG